UAGCCCUUGUCCUUCUGCCUUAGAAAUGCUACUAAGACAGAAAGUAAGGGUUGGC
rnacentral:pre_miRNA from 1 species